rnacentral:snRNA from 1 species
AGCUUUGUGCAGUGACAGUAUUGUAGCCAAUGAAGUUAAUGCAAGGCACAAUUACUGCUAACUAAAAAACGAAAAAAUAGCUAAACAUUUUAGCUUUGACUUUUCUGAAAGGAA